ACUCCUACGGGAGGCAGCAGUGGGGAAUAUUGCACAAUGGGCGCAAGCCUGAUGCAGCCAUGCCGCGUGUGUGAAGAAGGCCUUCGGUUGUAAAGCACUUUCAGUCGUGAGGAAGGUAGUGUAGUUAAUAGCUGCAUUAUUUGACGUUAGCGACAGAAGAAGCACCGGCUAACUCCGUGCCAGCAGCCGCGGUAAUACGGAGGGGUGCGAGCGUUAAUCGGAAUUACUGGGCGUAAAGCGCAUGCAGGUGGUUUGUUAAGUCAGAUGUGAAAGCCCGGGGCUCAACCUCGGAAUAGCAUUUGAAACUGGCAGACUAGAGUACUGUAGAGGGGGUAGAAUUUCAGGUGUAGCGGUGAAAUGCGUAGAGAUCUGAAGGAAUACCGGUGGCGAAGGCGGCCCCCUGGACAGAUACUGACACUCAGAUGCGAAAGCGUGGGGAGCAAACAGGAUUAGAUACCCUGGUAGGAUAGCG
rnacentral:rRNA from 1 species